rnacentral:rRNA from 1 species
GCAAGUCGAACGAAGUAGCAAUACUUAGUGGCAGACGGGUGAGUAACAUGUAGGUAUCUGCCCUUUGGCCUGGAAUAACAUGAGGAAACUUAUGCUAAUACCGGAUAAGUCUUUACGGAGAAAGCUUUAUGCACCAUUGGAUGAGCCUGCACUUGAUUAGUUUGUUGGUGGGGUAAUGGCUUACCAAGACUGUGAUCAAUAGCUGAUUUGAGAGGAUGAUCAGCCACAUUGGGACUGAGACACGGCCCAAACUCCUACGGGAGGCAGCAGUGGGGAAUCUUGCACAAUGGAGGAAACUCUGAUGCAGCGAUGCCGCGUGAGUGAAGAAGGCCUUUGGGUUGUAAAGCUCUUUCGUCGGGGAAGAAAAUGACUGUACCCGAAUAAGAAGGUCCGGCUAACUUCGUGCCAGCAGCCGCGGUAAUACGAAGGGACCUAGCGUAGUUCGGAAUUACUGGGCUUAAAGAGUUCGUAGGUGGUUGAAAAAGUUGGUGGUGAAAUCCCAGAGCUUAACUCUGGAACUGCCAUCAAAACUUUUCAGCUAGAGUAUGAUAGAGGAAAGCAGAAUUUCUAGUGUAGAGGUGAAAUUCGUAGAUAAUAGAAAGAAUACCAAUUGCGAAGGCAGCUUUCUGGAUCAUUACUGACACUGAGGAACGAAAGCAUGGGUAGCGAAGAGGAUUAGAUACCCUCGUAGUCCAUGCCGUAAACGAUGUGUGUUAGACGUUGGAAUUUUAUUUUCAGUGUCGCAGCGAAAGCGAUAAACACACCGCCUGGGGAGUACGACCGCAAGGUUAAAACUCAAAUGAAUUGACGGGGACCCGCACAAGUAGUGGAGCAUGUGGUUUAAUUCGAAGAUACGCGCAGAACCUUACCAACACUUGACAUGUUCGUCGCGACUUUAAGAGAUUAAAGUUUUCGGUUCGGCCGGACGAAACACAGGUGCUGCAUGG